UACUGUAAUGUAUUUUUAAGAAGCUAUGUCAUGUUUUAUAAAUGAAAAACACUAUGAAUUAAGUAUAUAUCCUUUGUCUUGUUUAUUAAUUCCGUACUACAACUUUAAAUUUUACAUUACUUCUUUCUUAUUUUUUCUGAGUACAGACAUUAAUGCCUUCAUACUGGCUUUGGCAUGGUAUGUGUUAUUUAUGUCCUAAAGUUCCAGUUGUCUUAGUAAGAUUGGGUGCUCUACAGCUCUUGCCAGCCUUGCAGUGACUCUCAGUCCCCUUGCCCUUCAAUCACCCCGGGCUCCUUAACAGGUCUAUUUCAUUUGGGGAUAAGGUACAGCAUGUCUCACAGUUUUAGCUUCUCAGUCUUCUCCCUUGCUGUAGAUGGUAUCCAUACCAAUUUGUAGCAUGAUGAGCUUUCCCUGUAUUUUCUAAAAAUAUGUUUGCUAUGUCAAAAUAAUUUUUCUCAAAUGGCAAUACAGAUUCCUGAGCACCAUAGGUUUAAUUCAAGAUAUAAUUAAAAGACUGCGUGAAGACUUUAAAUCUGCUUUUAUAUUCAGCUUUUUUUUUUUCACUCUUAACUGAACCACAUACUGUAACAGCCUACUCAUUUCUAAAGAGCAGUGAUCACAUCUCCUGCAGAGGCUGCUUCACUACGAACUCCCUCCUGCAAGGUGCUGAUUGCUCUGGCCCUCACUCAUUGAAGUCCUUAGAUGCUUAGCUGCUGGACUAAGAUCAGCGUCUAAUACUUUUCAAGAUACAUAUCUGUGCUCCAAGAAGGAUCGUUCAUUCUUUGCUCCUGUCAGAGGAUGGGUCCUAAAUAAAGGAAAUAAUUUAGUCUUUGGUUAUCUAGCAGGAGAGAGAUUAUCACGCUAGAGUGGAGUACCUUGAAGUCAGCUCAAUUUACAGUAUCCCAUCUGCUUUGCUCUAUAAUGGUGUUCGGAUUAUGAUAAGAUGUAUAUUUCUGUGUUAAAGUUAAACUAAUAACAAAAAUAAAUAGAUAGCAAAAAAAAUCAACAUGUUUUAACUUUACUAUUAUUUCAUCAAGCAAUAAUGAACUGAGAAUUUGGCUAGUAUAUUAAAAACAUAGCCAAUAAAUCCAACAUUAUUUUAUAAUUAAGCACAGAAAAACAGUGAAAUAAUUGAUCCAUGUAUGUAAUUACUAGUGUACCAAUAAAACCAAAAUGUUUUCUUGGAAGAUAGUCCUGAGUUAGGACUUAAACAGUAACUUACUGGGUGUACUGAGAGAAGAACAGCGAACUAUUUCAAAUAUGCUGGGGCAUGUUCUUCAGGAAAGGAAAAAUUUUUGAUUAUUUACACUAAUAUAUAAGGACUCCCCUUACAUAGGCUUGCCUCACUUCAGCCAACUGAAGUAAAGGUCUAAAGCCUGAGCCAUUUCAGGCAAGCUGCAAAGAGGAAGAGGGUUCUCUUACCUGUGUUGUCAUCCUCUGGAGUCAGGAUCUCAAAGUUUUCUUAAGGAUGACUAUAAAACCGUGGCUUUCACUACAGCACCCAUUGCAUUGCUGUUGCUCUCAGGAGAAAUUUAUUCUCCACAGCCACACCAUCUUGUAAACUGUUGUGACAAGACAAACCUUUCUCAUGCCACAAGAGAGAGAGUGAACUGUACAUCCUGUUGGUAACAUAUAGAAGUGGUCAAUUUCUGUGCUGGAGAAGUGAUUCUGCAGCCCAUUGUGAAGACCAUGGUGAGGCAGGCUGUCCCCCUGCAGCCCACAGAGGUCCACAGUGGAGCAAAUACCCACCAUGGAGCAGAUAUCCCAUAGAGGAACUCACAACAGAGUGGGGGAAUGCCUGAAGGAGGCUGUGACCCCUUGGGAAGCCCAUGCUGGAACAUGCUCCUAGCAAGACCUGUGGCCUCAUGGAGAGAGGAACCCAUGCUGGAGCAGGUGAGGAGGGGAGUGAUAGAAAGACUUCUGUGGGCAUCUGGUGUCCAGCCAGAUUCAACCCACCUCGGUCAGUAAGAAGACAUUUGGAAAGAGCUGAAUCAGUGGAACUGAAUGCAGUGUUUCCAAUUCUUCCUGGCAAGUGAAGGAAUAAAGAAGUAAAGAAUGAAGUCAGAAUCACACUAUGGGAAUACUAUCAUAUUUUUUUAAUUAAUUCCAUUCAAGAAAAUCUUAAUUGAAUAUUUUAGAGUUAAGAUAACAAUGCUGUUAAACAGCAACACAAUAUGAUGAAGUCAACAAAGUGUGACUGUGAUAAUGUAAAGAAAAAUUCAAAUACAUUAAUUUGCCCAUUAACCUUAUCCUAUUCCCUUUGGAUUUUAUUUUCUGUGCUUUAUUUUUUAACCUCAGAGCUGCAUUCAUGUAUUAUUAAAUCACUAACAACUGUUAUUUAAAAAUCUUGGCUUUCUGAGCCCAGUAAGUAAUCUGGAUGAGCAAUCUACCUCCUUAGGGGAAUUUUCCUAUGCAGAAGCUGGUAUGACCUCCAUUCAAACAGUUUGCAUGCAUAGUUAUAUUUCUGAUGGGCUCUAAUUGUAAACAUAAGAUGAAAAUAAUUUGUAGUGAAUUUUGUCUGGAAAUUUGACCCUUUACAUUUUUUUUCUUUAAUUUUACCUUACCCAUGUUAGUAAGCAAAUAAUGCAUUUUUGUGCCAUGGAUAUUCAAAUUAAUCAAAUAACUAUUAAAUUAUGCACUUGACAUAGCAUAUGCCUGCAUUAUUUGGCAGAAGUCAAAUGUACAAAUAUGUACACUGUGGAAUGCUCCAUAUCUGUGUAUAGUUAAACCAACAUGAGGACAGUGGUUAUACUGUUCUAGGCCUGUGUAACCACACAGUUUGGAAUCUUUGAAUAAAUUGCUGAAUGAACCUUAUUAGGAAUUAUAUGUAUGAGGUUUACAGAGGGCAGAUGCUCCCUUUAUAAAUACUGAUAGCUGCCACAUCCCCAUUCAGAUCUUUAGUAGGUUCCAGGUAGGAAUGUAAAUACACUAGUCCUAAGUAAAAAGUAUCCAUCAGUUGAAAAUUUUGGCAUCUAGCAAUCUCUGGUAAUGUGCAAAACCCCAAGCCAGCCAGCCUGUGCCUUUGUUUUUUAAUUCCUCCCCUGUGAUUUGACAGAUCUUCAGGUAAAGUGCAGAAGAGUUGAUGGAGACACUGACAGUUCUAUAACUUCGCUCAGCCACUCUGAGGUUCAUAGAGCCUAUCACAGACUGGAGUAAAUGUCUAUUCAUUAUAAAACCUUCCCAGGUUUGAGAAAAAAAGGGUAAUAAACCUGAACAAGGAAUUACAAAUGAGCUGGGAGAGGAUCUCAGUGACUUGGGACCUUCAUUCUCUGGAAGAGUUUUACAUUGUCCUAGAGGACUUCCUUUUAUUGUGCUGUUAGCAACUGGGAAGACUUUCUCCUGGCUGGAUGCUUGUUUAACUUGGUGGGCCAAAGCUAUUUUGUUCUGUAGUAAGUUUGUAAAUUAGGCAUAUAAUCUUCAGCCUAUACUUGCCAAUGUAAAUCAAAGGACCGGGUAUUUCCAUAGGAUUUUGGCAUUCUAUAGUUCUCUUUCUAACCUAUAUGACUACUGAUGGUGGCUUCCUAUUGCUACUCAGCACUGACUGUCAAAUGGAAAGGAAGUACCAAGCUGACACAUGGCAAAUGAAUCAUCUUUUUAUAAAAGCUCAUAAUAGAGAUAACUGAAAUGCAGAACAAUGUCAUCACAGUCACUUCUGAACAUAGGAAAAUGGAAUAAUGCUUUCUGGAACAACAAAGGUAUCUUUGUGCUCUUAGAUAAAAUUGCUGAACUAACUAAAUAUAUUUAAACAGGAACUGCUUCUAGACUGUAGCUUGAAUGCCAGUUCUCAAAUGAGGAUAUAUUUUUAGACACAGUUCAUGAAUUGCUAAACCCAAGAUUUUCAAUUGGAAAUGCAAAGCUGCUGCUGCAACCGUCUGCUAUCGGUAAUUGUGAUUAAAACAGAAUAGGCAAUGGCACAAGCAGAACAGCUGCAUCUGUUUAGAUUUCUUCCAAAACCAGUAUUGUGACAACUGAAGUAAUGUAUGUGCAUAUGUAUUUCAUCCCAUGCUGCAAAAAUUAAUUUAUUAUUUGUGAUAUUAUUGCUUAUAUAAUCUCCAUCCUAAACCAGGACUCUACAGUCAUGUGCUGAUAUAUAUGGUAAAUGGGAUACAGACAGAAGGAAGACUACAAAGAGAUAUUAAAAUAAUAAUGAUCUACAUGCUUGGUUUCUGCCUAUCAAUAGCCUCUGUGUGUACUGCUCCACUGAGAGAGACCCCAGUGAGCCUCUUUUUAACUGUGUGAAGAUGCAACUUGCCUGAACCUGGGAGCGUCAUGACUGACAGUGAGUGAAAAAGGAUGGGAUACUAGACAGCCUUAGGACAUGUCUUCACUAAGCUAAAGGUCAAAUUCAGAUCAGGCUUAAUGGAAAACAAAGAUAAAUCAUCCCUUUAUAGAUAUGCCUGUUUAUCUAUGGGUUGCCUUUGAGGAUACUUCUGCCUGUAACCUCUUGAGAAUGACACUAGACCUACAGAAAUCCUUAGGGUACUAGCACAGUCAGAAUAACCAUCAGGAGAUAUGAUUCUGUGAAAAUACUACUGCAGAAGCCUGUUCUGAGAAAGUGUAAAGGGAUGUCUGAUGAACGCCAACAAUUUCUGUCUUCCCUCUCCUCGUUAACUAUUCACUGGGUUGCUAGCAUGUGGAAGUGAUUCCAGCAGCAAGCUGAAAACCUACAGACAGCUUUAAAACUAUUAGAAAUAUGCAGAGGCUUUGAAAUCUAAGAAGGAUGGUUAUGAGUAUUGACUUCAAUCUCCUGUAUCACCCACAAAAAAGAUCCCCCAUUACUUCAGCUGCCGCUAUACUUCCCCUCAGUUACCAACGUGACCGAGUCCUGCCUAGCACAGUGGAGGUAAGUAAGAAUACAUGAACAGAAGACACAGGAUAGGACCACAUGGGGUGCAAAACAGAAGAUGGAAGACUGCAUUAAAAACAUGUCCUCGAUAUUGUUUGGUCCUAGUUUUUCCUGCCAGCUUCAAGGGCACAAAAAUAAUGUACACUUAAUGCACUCUGGACGGCAACAAGGCAUACUUGGCAAUCUCAACGCUGUAUUCACCAUGGGUUUUGGCAAUAUAUGUAACAUUGUUUUCCUAUGGCUCUGAGAGGUAUAAAAUGCCUGAUAUUCCAGUGGAAUAUCAAGUUUAAGACUAAAGUGAAACCUUAAAAAUUCCAUUAUUAUUAGUUAUUACAAUGUUAAUAAUUUUAGCAGAAAUAUCCAGCUAUUUGGGGGUUGUGAAUGGAAUUUUAGAACAGUAUCACUAGGUGUUGUUAGAUCAGACUUCAUACCUACAGUUUACUAAGAAUAAAAAAAAAAAUUGCCUUGUGAUUGAAUACUAUUCUGAAUUCUGGUGAAGUAAACGGUUCUUUUAAGGUGUGUGUUUCCCCUCAGAUCUGUAUUCAAGUUAUGCUGCUAUAGCUGAAAAAUGAGUCUUGUACUCUCCUGAGUAUAUUUGCAAUGGCAUUAAAUGAUUUGUGGUCAUCUUCAGUUAACACUGACAAUAAUUCUAUAAUAUCUUUGAAGUAAGGCCAACACCACCCUUUUUAACUUUUUUUGGUUUUUAAAUGCCAUUUCCAUUAUUGCAUGUUUUCCUGCUUUGCUGAUACUUCUGGAGGAAGACUACUUCAAUAUUCUGUUUGGAAGUACCCCAGUUUUAUGUCACCUUUUCUCCCGUAACAUAUUGCUGUUAUUUCUUCAGAUUUCUCGGAGUUUUUAAUACGUGCAUUUCACUGCCACUCACCCUCUACUGGUUUGAAUGGUAAGAAUAGGCACCAUGUCCCUCACCAGUUCAUCUUUCUCUGGAAUCUCUCUCCUUUCUCUUGGGUCAAUCAUGCUAAAGGUAGAUAAAAUCUAUUUUAUCUAACAUGUCAAUGUCACUCUAUUAACUUUCCUCUGUGGUACACUGUUUCCGUUAUAGGAAUUUAGAAGCUUGGGAAGGAAAUGAAUAUGCAACUUUAGCCAGGCAAAUUUGAGUUUUCUUCCAAAGCUUCUCAGGAUCUCUGGUCAUGCACUUCUUUUCUCCUCACAUCAGAAUGUCAUUUAUUCAUAUCAUAGUCUGCUACAUUGCCAUCUAUAGUUCACUAGUUUUCCAGUAAAGCUGCUGAUGGGAAUGCCAGUUGGAGGAAACUGUUUCCUUCAAUGUAAUAUGCUCACAAAAAUGAUGUGGUGUUGGUUUUUUUUCCUUAACAGUACCUGCUUGCAACCUGCCAACACAUUGUGUGUAUAAAAAUAUUUGCCAUCUAACACAUCUCCAGAAGUACCUCUUCUUAUGAAAAUUUUCCUUGAGGAAAAUGUUCACUUCACAUAUAUAUAUGUAUAUAAUCUCCAUGAUGCUACACAGCAGGUAAGAAUUGUAGGUUUUGCUCUUUUAGCAAUGAUGAGUGAACUGACUCUUCUUUUCUACUAAACACACAAUUUUACAACAAUGAGCCUGUCUGGCUUCAUUUUCUGCUGCUAUUCAGGGGGGAGAGAAAAAUUAUAUAAGUCAGGAACGGUGUGGUGACUGGGCUAUUAACUCACUUCCAUUCUGCACAGUUAAAAGAGCUUCUCUCCUGUGGAUCAUAUGCUUAGACAGAACCACAUUUAUUUUUGCUUGUUGCCUCACUAAAGAAAGAAUUAUAGAAUCAUAGAACAGCCUGCAUUGAAAAGGUUAUCUAGCUCCAACCUCCCUGCCAUGGCCAAGGACACCUUUCACAUGAUUUGCCCGCAAGCUUGACACAGUUUUAACUCAGAAAUGGGACUUUACCUCUUUGAGCUAUUACAAAGUGCGUUUUUGCAUGUCUACUGUUUACCCAUAUAUCUAGUUCCUAAACUCAUAUUGUGAAAAUCAGGUCACAAUUAGAUGCCUCAAUUUUCACAUCCCUCCCUCUUUUUGUAAUCCGUAAGUUCUUGUGUUGGCGACAUUGCACUCAUUGCUAAGAUCCACAUUUCUGGCACCAUAGUACCUUGUACACCCAUACCCAAUUCAAAACUAAUACCUCUCCAACCUGUACUGUGAUGCUCCAUUGGUUUAUGCAGAAUUCUCCUGAAUUCUAGCAAUUCAGGAGAGCGAGCAAUGCUGUUUUCAUCCUUUUUUGUCCUCACUGUGUGCACUCUUAAAAAAAUGAUGUGAUGUAUUGCAGUUCUUGUAUCUUUUUCAAGUCCUCAGAACCAGGAUCUCUAAGAUCUGUUUCAUUCAGUGUUUUAGUCUAACUGGUCAGCACUGUGUCACAGGCACCUCUGAACAGCACAAUAACCAACCCCACUGGUCCACAAAACAAAAGGCCUUCUGUGGCAACAAGCUGCCACAGAAGAGACACUACCAUGGAGACCAUUCGUGAUCCUGUAAGAAAGAUCCAUUGUAUUUCACAUCCCUUUGUUCUGAAAGCACUAGGAAUUAUCUCACGUCCAUUCAUCAUGAGCCAAUGAGUUAUCCCAAGUUUAGAGUUUGGGAACUGCAAAAGUGUUAAAACUCACAAAAAAUAGGCCUGGAACAAGAAAAGUAGAAAGGAAGUGAAACCUAUAUCAGCUGAGCUGGAAGUGUACCCAGAGGUACUCAAGCUCCAGCUUGAGACUUAAAGUGUGAAGGAAAGGAAGUUACUUGCACUAUCCAAGUAAUCAGUAGCUUUAUGAUAAAGCAUGUGUACAUGUAUACAUAAGCAGAAGGACUGAAGAGAAGAAAAGAAGAGAUUAAAGCUGACUUCUUGUGGGGUAUGGCUGAGGACUAUGCAUUGAACUUUUAAUUUUGUUAUAGGCAUUUGCAUUCUUUUUGACACCUAUGAAACUUGUUUCAGUUUUCCUGAGUUGCACCUGUCUGUUUUCCCUUAAGUCAGAUGUGAAAGAAUAUAUUGUGGGUAGGUAUAUCUGCCUGCUGAGGCACAAUGCACUACAAGGAGUACAAUUUGGAGACUGCAGACAAGGCACAUUGUUGCUAUGAUCAAACAUUUUUCUUGUGCAUGCAAGACCCACAUGAGAGCAGAGUGUGUUCCUCCAGUGUUGUAAAGCCAAAUGACAUUCCAGAAGCAGCUGCCCAGCCAAUACGUCCACGCUCAGUGUAGGUUCUCCACUCGGGAAAUUUGAAGCUCCUAUCUCAAAUUUCUACCUGACAAAAAAAUCUAGGACAAUCUUAUUUGGGAACUUUGGAGCUCAUUUUGAGCUUAUCUUGUAAGAUAAGAUUACAACAGAUCUGUGACUGAACUCAAACCCAAGGUACAUCUGGUGGUAAAAAUUUGCUUUUUUUUCUUCUUUAUUUUCUUUGCAGAUAUGCAGGAAGAAUUUUGACUGAAGUUAGUACAUUCUUGAUGUUAAUGUAACUUUUGUUUUACUUUUUUUCUUUUUUUUUAAAUUUACGUAUCAGUCUUUCAAAGCUCACUUCCAAGUGAACAUCUCUCAGUUGGUAAAUGAUGUGAAACUUAUUUUUGGAACAUGUAGGAAUAGCAAAAGGGCUCACUAAUCUUCUAAUAAGAUAAAGUUACUUCUGAAGGAUAAAAUUAGCAUGCUGGAAAUUUUCCAACAAUUAUAUUUUUACAGCCCUACCAUGUAUAUUAUAUAGUGUGUUUCUGAAGAAUUAGUACUCCAAAACGUAUGUUCCUCAUGUCUUCUGCAAACUUUAUUUUGAGGAAAAUUUUAAUGUGAUAAUUUAAAAAACAAUAUUUAUUUAUGAAGAAUUAUCCAAACUGUAUAAUCUUAUUAUUACGAGAAAUAAAAUAUUAGUAAUGAAAUAUGCAUCCUGAUUUUGGCUAAGAUAGAGUUAAUUUUCUUCCUAGUAGCUGGUACAGUGCUGUGUUUUGGAUUCAGUAGGAGAAUGACAUUGAUAACACACUGAUGUUUCAGUUGUUGCUCAGUAGUGUUUACCCUACAUCAAGGACUUUUUCUCAUGCUCUGCCAAUGAGGAGACACAGAAGAAGCUGGGAGGGAGCAAGGCCAGGACAGCUGACCUGAACUGACCAAAGGGAUAUUCCAUACCAUAGAAUAUCAUGCCCAGUAUAUAAACUAGAGCAGUUGGCCAGGAGGCACAGAUGACUGGUCGGGGCUGGGCUGCGCUGGGCUUUGGUCCGCAGGUGGUGAGCAACUGUGUUGUGCAUCACUUUGUCUUUAUGGAGGCUUAUUCCUCCUUUUUUUU